GGAAGAUAUAAGAAACCGCUAACUUCUGACCCUGAAAUUAAAACUUCAGCUUCCCC
rnacentral:tRNA from 1 species